GAUGAACGCUGGCGGCGUGCCUAAUACAUGCAAGUCGAGCGAACGGACGAGAAGCUUGCUUCUCUGAUGUUAGCGGCGGACGGGUGAGUAACACGUGGAUAACCUACCUAUAAGACUGGGAUAACUUCGGGAAACCGGAGCUAAUACCGGAUAAUAUUUUGAACCGCAUGGUUCAAAAGUGAAAGACGGUCUUGCUGUCACUUAUAGAUGGAUCCGCGCUGCAUUAGCUGGUUGGUAAGGUAACGGCUUACCAAGGCAACGAUGCAUAGCCGACCUGAGAGGGUGAUCGGCCACACUGGAACUGAGACACGGUCCAGACUCCUACGGGAGGCAGCAGUAGGGAAUCUUCCGCAAUGGGCGAAAGCCUGACGGAGCAACGCCGCGUGAGUGAUGAGGGUCUUCGGAUCGUAAAACUCUGUUAUUAGGGAAGAACAUAUGUGUAAGUAACUGUGCACAUCUUGACGGUACCUAAUCAGAAAGCCACGGCUAACUACGUG
rnacentral:rRNA from 1 species